rfam:Stegodyphus mimosarum contig49494, whole genome shotgun sequence.
GCCUUCGUGAUGUAACGGUAACACACUCGGCGCGUAUUCCAGAGGUCCAGGUUCGAGUCCCGGCGAGGGCA